CAUCAACAAUGAGAUUUUCUCAUUGUGUGGCUAGGCCAAACCCACCGAACCGUCGUGUAGUCCCUCGCUUUGCCGAACGGAGUUGUCCACGAGUCUCAAAAUACCCUAAAAGUAAUGAGCGAAGGGAUACACAAGGAUUACGAACAACGAAUAGGUUAAACAUUAACCAACUCAAUGAAAGGGCCAAAACUCACCUAUGGUGGUGAAAAUCCCUCUCAAGCUCCAAAAAAGAGCUAAAUCCCUUCCAAUGCAACCUAGAUAAAGGUUCUAAUAAGAUCAAUUGGGCUUCAAAAGCCUCUAAUCAAAAAUCCCCAAAACAAACCCUAAAUACCCAUUUCUAGGGUUUGUAUACAAAAAUCAUGAAAAUCAUGAUCAAAAGGGAAUUAGUAAGCAACUAACCUCAAGAGAAGCUCCCAAUCACCCUAGAAAUCAGCUAGGGUUGAGCUCCUACCCUCCAACAAGCUCCAAACACCAAGCCCAAACUUCUCCCAUGGAGGAAAAGCCACCAAAAUGCAAAAAGAGAGCAAAAGGAGAGUUUAAUCUUCAAAAACCCAACAUAAAUCAAAGGGAAACAAAGAGGAAGAAAAGAGAGCUCCCUUACCUUGCUCUCCCUGCUUCCAAGCUCAGGGAACACCAAGGGGGGCGUAGGGGUAUGUUAUAGAGUUGUUACAAUAGCAAAAACACCCCUGCAGUUCGAACUAUUCGAAAACUGCCAAAGUGUACCGGUACACGGGAAAGUGUACCCGUACAAAUCCCACGAAAAUGCAAACCCGAGGCUCGGGUUUGAAAUUCGGCACAAGUGUACCGGUACAGCCAUCAAAAGUGUACCGGUACAAAAUGUGUACCGGUACAACCAUCGACAUGUCACCGGUUUCACCAUGUGUAGAAUGCAAUCCGAGGGUAGGCUAAGUCCAACUCUUUAGUGGCCUUAGCGCUACAUAAAAAUACUACAAUUCUCGGGAUAUGAGCCAUAGGUCGGAACACUGUCUACGACCCUCCAGAAAGUCUGGAAUAAACUCAAAACACAAAUCAAACACUCGAACCUUGCUAUUUGCG
rnacentral:lncRNA from 1 species